GAAAAAAAAAAAAUCUCUUCCAAAAAAGCACCGGUCUGCAGAUGUCUGCAAGAGAACCCACGAACCCUCCUUCUUCUACGGCAGGGCAGCAGUUGGCAGGAGUACCAGUUGGAGGGAAUGAAUCGUCUACGUUGGCUGUUCAUCUUUAAAAAUUGACCCUUCAGUAGCAUGUAAGUGCAUCACAGAUAAAGGACUAACUUUGUGAACAUACUCCUGCAGUAAAAAGGACAAAAAUGAACAAUUCUUAUGUAAUUAGUCACCCGACACAAGUGUUCCAGGAUAAGAUCUUCUGAAGUAUCAUAGCAGAAAUAUAAAUGGAAUACUUAGAGUUGCUGUUGUCAGCUGUUAAAUAUGGAAGGAUUUCUGCAGCUUUUCACGUUCUCUGGAUAGUUGUACAUCAAACUAAGCAAUUCAAUCCUUCUUCCUGCAAUUCCUACCUAGCCAGGCCCAUGAAAACUGUGGUAUUGGUGAGGAAGUGAUGCCUCAAAGUUACUCAACAUAUAACUUAAAAUAAAAGAAAGCUAUUCCCCAAAUGCAUACUUGUGUAAGCAGUUGGAAUGCAGUAAGUGUGUUUUCAUUAUGACUGAACAAUUUCAGCUGUGAGCAACUAUACAGCAAGAAGAAGAAAAAAUGCAUCUUUGGAGGACAAGAGCUGGAAAAUGCUUCUGCAUCUGGUUUUCUUUGGGAGGAAAGACUUUGUGAAGUGUGAGGUGUGAGGAAAGACUCAGUCCCCUUUGGAUUAUAAAAGCAGUGCUUAUAAUAAAACUGUAUGUUGUGACUCUU